GACGAACGCUGGCGGCGUGCCUAAUACAUGCAAGUCGAACGCAGUGGGGACGGGUGAGUAACACGUGGGUAACCUCCCAACAGAGGGGAUAACACUUGGAAACAGGUGCUAAACCGAUACGGGUGGAUGGACCCGCGGGGCAUUAGCUAGUUGGUGAGGGAACGGGUCACCAAGGCCACGAUGCAUAGCCGACCUGAGGGGUGGGUCGGGCACACUGUGGCUGAGACACGGCCCAGACUCCUACGGGAGGCAGCAGUAGGGAAUCUUCGGCAAUGGACGACAGUGUGACCGAGCAACGCCGGGUGAGUGAAGAAGGUUUUCGGAUCGUAAAACUCUGUUGUUAGAGAAGCGGUAUCUAACCAGAAAGCCACGGCUAACUACGUGCCAGCAGCCGCGGUAAUUC
rnacentral:rRNA from 1 species